rnacentral:lncRNA from 1 species
UCUGUAGGCAGGAAAGAACACAAACUACCAAAUUUCCCAUUAUGUAAACAAUGUACUUAAAGUACUAUAUAUUUUGAGCAUCUGGCAUGCCCGAAUCCCAGAAGAGUCUUGAAAGUAGAAAUGAGGAUCAGAUGGACCAAGUCCUGUCUGUGCCACCUACUAAGAACAGGUUUUGCUCUUCACUCUUGUACAUGGUGUGUAUGGCAAGAUGAAGUGGCAUGUCUGUGGUAUACAAAAGAUAGAUCCCAUGAAAGAUGAGUGGCUGGACAACACACAAGUGGAGACAAGGAAGACCCUUAAAACACUUUCUACUACUGAAAUUCCAGAAGAAUUAUUCAUGAUUUUUGAUGAUGCUGCAGCAAAGUUCAAGCCCCCAGACUCUGUGCAAGUAAGGAGGUUACUGCAUCAGUGAGGCAUCUGCAAGGAGAUUCUUCCUUCCCCAGCUGACUUCACGUGUUUGUUUAUUUAACUCAAAGCUCUUUCAACUGCUCCUCAGCAUCUGGGGUAUGAAGGGGAAAGGACCGAUGGGGAUAAUAAAUUGUACCUUAUUGAGUAAGUGUGAAUGGUA